rnacentral:rRNA from 1 species
AUUGAACGCUGGCGGCAGGCCUAACACAUGCAAGUCGAGCGGAUGAAGGGAGCUUGCUCCUGGAUUCAGCGGCGGACGGGUGAGUAAUGCCUAGGAAUCUGCCUGGUAGUGGGGGAUAACGUCCGGAAACGGGCGCUAAUACCGCAUACGUCCUGAGGGAGAAAGUGGGGGAUCUUCGGACCUCACGCUAUCAGAUGAGCCUAGGUCGGAUUAGCUAGUUGGUGGGGUAAAGGCCUACCAAGGCGACGAUCCGUAUCUGGUCUGAGAGGAUGAUCAGUCACACUGGAACUGAGACACGGUCCAGACUCCUACGGGAGGCAGCAGUGGGGAAUAUUGGACAAUGGGCGAAAGCCUGAUCCAGCCAUGCCGCGUGUGUGAAGAAGGUCUUCGGAUUGUAAAGCACUUUAAGUUGGGAGGAAGGGCAGUAAGUUAAUACCUUGCUGUUGUGACGUUACCAACAGAAUAAGCACCGGCUAACUUCGUG